AUUUGAUGAUGAGGACAUCGAAUAAGUAAAGCAUUAAAGUGGUCCUAAUAUUCAAAUAAAGACUCUCAUGUAUGUUGUUUGACUCCGCAUAUCUCUUUCCUCAUGAU